GUUUUCUUUCUUCUUUGAUUUAUUUUAAUCUUACUUAUUAGUCUGUGCAUUUCUUUCAAACAGUGAGCAUUCCUAUGCCUCACUCCCAGCCAUCCAUUACUAAUAGGCAGUGAUGCUUUGGUUGCCUUAGGGUGCUUAUUCAAACUUCCCAGAUUGCUGUUUCUUGAGAAUGUGUCCUUUAGGAUUGUUUCUUAUCUUAUUACAAUGAUCUGUUUCAGGACCAUCAGACCUAUGAUGAUAAAUAAUUGUUGAUUAUUUACUUGAACAUUUAGUUUAAAUGAACAGAAAUUAACCAAAGCUAAUUUCUCAUUCUCCUUAGCCUGUUCUAUUAUUUGAUGAGAGUGAAAGGCUUGAGACAGGAUUUCAUGUAGCCCAGGCUAGCCUUAAAGUUGCUACGUACCUUAAGCUGCCUUUGAAAUUCUGAUCCUCCAGCAUCUACUUUCACAGGGUACUACCACACUGACCUCCUCUUAGCUUCCUAAUAGUAUAUCAUAUUACUGUCUUUUUCAUGCUUCUAGAAUUUUUCAAGUUGAUUGAAUAUGUAGUAUUGUUCAUAUUCACUCUUGUUAUUCAUUCUGUUUCUUUUGCAGUAAUAGUCGCUCAGGUUUUCCCUUCUGGUUUUCUUCUUUAUGUUAGGACCUCUCCUUCCUCUUCCUCUUCUCCCUUCCUCCUCCUUUAUUCUUUCCUUGUGGAAGUUUUUUUUUUUUAAAUAUUUGUUUAUUUUAUGUGUAUUUUUUUCUGUGUGUAUGUGCACUACAUGUAUAUCUUGUGUCUAUGGAAGUCAGGAGAAGGCAUCAGAUAGCCUGAAACUAGAGUCACACAUGAGUGUAAGCCACCAUGUGGGUGCUGGGAACAGAAUCUGGGUUCUCUUCAAGAGUAACACGUGUUCUUAACCACUGAGCCAUCUUAGGCACAUCUUAUGAGAACAGAGGGUGAACUGGGGGUGCCUGAUCCAACAGAUAUGCUGUAUGUGUUUAUGUGUAUUUGUAACAUUUGUGAUUCUCAAAGUUUGUCAAAGACCAAAACAUGGUCAAGCUUCAUUUGCUGGAUGAUGACAGCCUCGUCUAGGGUGUCCCACUCCAUGCACGUUCUUGUUUCUGAGCUGUGUUCCCUCAUGCCGAGGUGUUAAUCCUGAUUCCCCUUCUUACUGCCACGCUUUUCUAUGGCUAGUUAUAUCCUUCAUUUUCCUGGUAUGAUUCAUAUAAUUAGCCCAUCAUAAUUCUGCCCUCUUUCUCAAAGUCCUUGUCCAACAUGCUCAAUAUUCCAGACAUAUAUUUUGAUAUAUGCUACAAUGUUAACAUCUGCUGCUACCCUGUCCUAAUUUUAAUAUUCUUCAAUAUAUUUUCUCUCUUCUCUUGCAAGUUCAAUUCAAGGUUAAUGGUCAUUUGAUUUUUCAAAGCUAACAACAGAAUUCUCUUUUGAUCAUUCUUCUGCAGUCUAUGGAGAGUGUAGCCCCUUUACCAUUCUUCAGAUGUAUGAUGCUGUAAGAAAGAUGUAAGAAAGCAUUCUUUCCAUGAGAUGACCCCAACUUGGUCUCUACUAGUGAUUCUUUUUCAUCUUCUAGGGCCAUCUUACAACACCAACCCAUCAGUGAAUUGCUUCCUGACCCCAGAAAGAGUGCCUCUUGGAUCCCAUUUUGUUCUUAAACUUCGUUGAUUUAUUGAGGAUGGUCCCGUGUCUUAAUUUCAUUCUUUUGACUCUACCAUAUGACAUGCAGAGGAUGGAAACUUUUUUUUUAAUCCAUGCCUUCUUGGUUCUCAGCAUAGUGCUUCAAUAGCUCUUGUUGGAGGGCAAUAUGCUCCCAACUUCAACUGUAGAACAUUUUGGGAAAGUCAAAUAAUGAAGUCAAUCAUCUAGAGCCCCCUUUUGUGACCAAUUGUUGUUGGUCACAAUCACACUAUUAGUUAUUAAUUUCCCAGCCUGAACUAUUCUGAACAUUUCACCAGAGUGUCACAAGUGCUGGAAUGUAUGCUGUAUAGCAAAUGAUCUGGCUACUAUGUAAACAACCUACUUGAACACUUAGUGUAUUUUCUAUGGUACAUUUCUUGAAAAGACCAUGCUGAUAAGAGUUUGAGCCCGGUAAUAUGUGACUUCAUGUUUUCCCAAUGAUUUGGUACUAUACUUUGAACUUUGUAAGCAGUUUUGCCUGUCCUAUAAAGACUGCUCUCCUCUCACUUCCCUUCUUCCUGUUUGUUAUUCUUUUUUUUUGCCUUGGCUAAGACAACAGUGAACCAAAGCAAUUGAUCCCUCUCCUUCCUAAAUUUCACAUGGCCACACUUGAAUAAAAGUGGCUCAUCUUUACCUCCUUUCUGAGACCUUACUAGAUGUAUUAGGAAAUUUGUUAGCAAUUCUCAUCAUAGUAAAAUAUGUUUUUGUUCUCUAUCUUAUAACCCUUUUCUUUUCUAAUGAGAAAACUAGGUUACAGAGAAAUUAAUCACUUAUUGUGGAGAUUUUAUUAGAGAACCUUAAGUAAUUAUCAUACAAACUUAUAGAAGCUUCUAGAAAAAAAAGAAAAAAACAAAGCUCUGGUGCUUACUGAUGUAUGUGAAUGACUCAGCUUCGCCUCCGUGGGAGCAGUAUUUAGGGACUGUAAAGUCACCAUAGUGUCCUCAUGUUCUUCCUGUUCUUCACCAGUCUGUCCUUCUUAUGCCUCUGUUUACUGUAGAGAAAACCACAGAGAUUCUUGUUCAGAUGUUUAUGGAAAAUCUAGAAGGGAACAUGAAAUUCUUAAGGAGUUCAUAGGAAUAGAAUUUUGUGUAGGGCCUUUGUCGAGUUAGACAAGUGCUCUGCCAUUGAGCUACAACCUUUGAAUUUUUUUCCUGAUUCUUGUUUCUUUAUUGAUAAAGGUUAUUUUGUUGGUUUCUUUUGGUUUGGUUUUUGUUUUGUGAGAUGGAGUUUCUCAAUGUAGCCCUGGCUGUCCUGGAACUUGCACUGUAGACCAGGCUGGCCUCAGCUCACAGAGAUGCACGUGCCUUUGCUUCCUGAAUGUUGGGAUUAAAGUUGUGUACUACAACUGCUCGGUUCAAUAAACGUUGUUCUCACAAUACAGGAGAGGGGUGUGUGUACUAUGAGGUGGCUCAGUAGGUAAGGAGGGUGCUUGUCACCAAGUCAGAUUCCUCUAAUCCAAGUGAUAGAAGGAGAGACCUGACUCACAGGGGUUUCCCUUUGACCUCCUCAUCCACAGUAUAACACAUAGACACGCUUGCCAGAACAAAUAAAUAAUUAAUAAAGAAAUGUUAUUUAAACAAUGCACUGAUUCUUGUAUUUUUAGGUAGCUAAUGGGGUGAUAGACAUUCUGGGGAAUGUUGUUACAUUUCCUGAAUCCCUAAAGAAUCAUUUUCCUUUUCAUAUAUGGUAUUCACAUCUAGGUUUUCCUAAAGAACAUUUAAAUCCCAGUUACUCUGCUUGUUCUUGAGAUAAGGCCUAAAGUCUGUUCCAAUGUUAAGGAGAUUCAUAUUAAAAGCAUCCAAAUUAAUUUUUUUGGGAGGGUCAUGCUUUAUAACACCUACCCCUAGUUCCCAACUCUAGGUAAGUGGAGACAGGAAGAUCACAGGUUUGAGGGCAGCUCUAGCUUGAAAUACGUACUGAGACCCCGACUUAAGCUCAAAACAGAAGAAUUUAUUUCUGUAUCUUGUCAUCACAGUUCAUGACUCUUCUCAAGACUCUAUGCUUUGUUCUCAAGCCCAUUUGACUUAUCUAAGUUUUAAGUACAUUUAAUGCAUUUUUCUUGUAAAAGCACAAAGGCUAGCUUUCUAAAACACUGUUAGGCAAUAAGCUGCAUAUUCCAGCUUCCUGGAAGGAAUUUUAGAAGUUUAGAUUACUAUUUCCUGGAAUGGCCUAUGAAUCUAGAGGGAGGUGUUACCACCUGUGAUCAUGUCUAUGGAAUACUUACAUAUCCUUAAUUACUGAGUAUCACAUAUCAUAGUAAGCAUAUUAUCCAUUGAUCUUCUCAUUGCAAGUGCUGAUUUGCACCUUUAAGAGGUGUCGAGAAAAAGCUACUUUAAAUGCUCCUUUUAACAGUAUUUCAUUACAAGACAGGUAGAUCAAGGCCUCUGCUCCUGUCCUUAAGUUGGCUUUCUUCAGAAUUCAAAGUACCGUGCUCUCAGUUCAUUGUGGUUCUUUGUGCCACAGUGUCUCCUGGAUUUCUGCUCGCAGCUCCUCUGUAUAUACUCAGUGUCUUAUCUUCUAUCUUCCUGAUGCUACCAGAUGAGACUGCAGGUUAAGCCCCACACCUGCUUGCUGAGUUCCAGAAGCAAUCCAUGGGCAUCAGUUAUUUAUUUUCCUGCACGUGUCCAGUCUUCAUCGUGCAAGGACAGUGCUGGCUGAUGGACACCUGCUUCUCUAAGCUUUAUCUUUGUAAAAGAAUUUUCUUUUGUAUCUCAUUGUUAAAAACAUUGUACUUUCAAGCUAUACAUGUAUAUAUUGUAUGUUGAGUGUAUUCAUCCCAUGACACUCUGCCCUAUCUUUUCUCACCCUUUCUCCUACUAACACACACACACACACACACACACACACACACACACACACACACACAGUGCAUCCAAAUUCCUCUCACUCCCACCCUUUCCUAUCUACCUCCCACCCUUAUCCACUUUCCACUUUUCCCUGAAAGUUCCUUUUUUGUUUUGUUUUAUAACUCAUCAACAUUAACUAAGCCAUCUGUGUCAUCAGGGGCUUAGAACCAUUCAUUGGAACUUCUUAGGCUCACCAUUAGUCAUAAAACUGAAAAAAAAAAAAAGACUACUUCCAUAUCACACUCUAUCAGUAGUCAGUAUUUAAGUAAAGAUAGGCUUAAAGAUGUCUACACAAUGUUCUCAAUCUGUGAGCAUGGUGAGGAUGCCCACACUAAUAAUUUGGCUAAAAUGAAGCCUGUAGAAUUCAAUAAAUUCCCCUACAAAUUAAAGAUGCUUUGCUGUGAGUACCUCUCAAAAAUAAUUUUUCUAUAAAUAACUGGUUGGAAAGAUAACAGAGUUCCUAAAUGCUAAUCAAGAUGGUCUCUGGGAAAAACAUGAGAGACAGAACUGAAAAAGUAGCUGUAAUUUGCUAAUCAGAAACAUAAUCAGAGUUUAUCCCAUUUUGAAAAAGACUAUAAAUAUAAGCAGUGACUAAGAAGGUAUAGAAAUGAGUCUCAGGGCAAUGUUAUUGGUGCCCAUGUGAUGACAGUCUUGUGCAGAGGUGCUAGGUUCCUCGCAUACAAACUUGAGCUUUACCAAAAUAAUUCUUCAGCAAUCUCUUAAAUCAGUAGGACUUUCGAGAGGUGUUGCAUACUGCUGCAUUAAAAGAUGUAUUCAUCAUUUAUUUACUGUUUAUGGGUGGUUUGUCUACAUGCAUGUCUGUAUACAAUAUGGAUGCCCAGUGCCUUUGGAGAUCAGAAGAGGCCAUCAGAUCCCCUGGGACUGGAGUUACAGAUAGCAGUAAGGCAUAAUGGUUGGUUCUAGGAAUCAAAUCCAGGUCCUCUACAGGAGCAGUAAGUGAUCUUAACCACUGAGUCAUCUCACCAACUCCUAUUAUUGCAUUUUGAAGUAUUUACAUUUGCAAAGUGGGGAACUAAAUUGGCAGAUUGUUUAUUAUCAAGCAAUUCACUUGUAGAUCUAGACUUUGCAAGUAUGUGCCAGUGUUUCCAAGACCACCAUCUUGGGACUGGAAAGACUAAUCAGCAGCUAAGGACACCGAUUACACUUCCAAAAGACACAUUUGAUUCCCAGCACCCAUAUUGUGGCUCCAAACCAUCUGUAACUCCAGUUAUCAGAGAUCUAAUGCUCAGUUCUGCCUCUCAUGGGAGCUACACACACACACACACACACACACACACACACACACACACACACACAAUUUAUUUAUGUAUUUAUUUAUUUAUUUAUUUAUAUGAUGAUGCACAGACACGGUAAACACUCAUACACAUAAAUGAAAGACCAUAGUUUUCCUAUGUAGUCUGAUUUUCUUUUAGUUAGAUCUUCUGAGAAUUCACAUAACAUGUAGCAUCCAAUUUCUUUCUUCCACUUUGCAGACAUUUCUUGAAUACAUACUCAUAGCCCCUCAAAGAUAUUGGCCUAUUUUUGUUCCCAUCUACAUGUUUAAGUACAUCUCGCCAAUCUGAGCUAUAGCAUGAAUGAAGUGCAAAUAGUCACUGAUCAAAGAGACAGAAGUGCCUGGUUGAAUUUACAAUGGCUCAUCUUGUCUUAAGUGAAUAGAUUGAUGUUUCUGUUUCACUUUGGCUUUCCAUGCUUGCUGAGUAAGAGAGAUUUAAUUGGUUUGCUAAGUACAGGUGUCUGUCUGCUUGAAGAUGUUCUUUUUUAUAUAACAUCCAAUGGCAUCUGUAUGCACUUCUGUAUUUGUGAGAGGGAUUAAUGUGUCCCUGGAUAUAAGAAUAUAAGCAUUACAUUAAAAUUUAAUUAAAUAUGACUCAAAUGUAUAUUGAUAAAAGCAGAACAUCAGUGACCAAACCCACAAGUACACUGAAACAAAUGGUCAAAGUCAGAGUGACUUUUAGAGGGUUGUUUGUUUUUGUAAGAGGUUGAACACAAUUUGUUUAACGAGUUUGUGUUUGUUAAACAUUUUUACUGUGUAGAAAGUGGGUGAUGUGUGCAAAGAACUUCAUGUGUUCUGUUAUAUUUUACUUUGGAUUAAUUAAAUACCUGUUUCAUCUAGUUCUUGUAAAGCUAAAACUAAUCCUUAUAUAUAAGGUACUCAAAGCCAUGAUGAGCACAUCUCAUGCUUCUUUAAUGUACAGCUGUGGUUAUUUACUUGUGUGUGAAUCUUGUAUUUGAGUCUACUGUAUAUUCUGCAAUCUAUGAACAUCUUUGCCAUCAGCUCUACUGAUACAGAACUCUGACUCAGUUUCCAAUACCAAGUGCACCAUGCUCUGGUGCCUCAUCACUAGUAAAAGAAAAUGAAUCUGACCUCUCUGAGGGAAGCAGACAAAGUUCUGAAUGAAUUUGUGUUGUUGUCAUGUGCAAAGUCAUGUCUAGGACCCAAAGCCUCCCCAGGGUCAGGCUCAGGAAAAAGACAAAUCCUUCCCUUGAUUAGUGAGCAGAUGUAUGUAUAGACAUCCCAACUACAGCUUCCUCCUCCUCAUGUUUACAACCUGAGACUGUUACUCUGUAGAGUCCACUGACUGAGAUUAGCUGAAAUCCUGCCUCCUCCUACAGCUCUUUACCUCUAUAUCUCCUCCUACAGCUCUAUACCUGCCUCCUCAAUUCACAUAUUUAAAAUAAAUGCUCCAAGAUUGCAGACAGUUGCUAGUGUGUCUCCAUCAGAGUGCAUGGCCCAUUCAGUCUGUCCCCCUUCUGUGUGUGUUCUUUUUCAUUUCCCCAUCACUGCAGUCAGGUCAACUGAAAAGCCAUGCAGACAUAGGACCUCUAUUAUUGUCUCAUCUUUGAGUAGACUGUCAGUCUUAGUUAGGGUUUGUAUUGCUGUGAAGAGACACCAUGAGCACAACUCUUAUAAAGGAAAACAUUUAAUUCAGCUGGCUUACAGUUUCAGAGGUUUAGUCCAUUAUCAUAGCAGAGCAUAGUAGCAUGCAGGCAGAUGUGUUGCUGGAGAAGAGCUGAGUGUUCUAUAUCUGGAUCCAUAGCACUGUGUGCUAAGUAGACUGUGUAACACUGGCCAUACUUGUGGUUAUAAUACCACAAAGCCCACCUUCACAGUGACACACUUCCCCUAACAAGGCUAUUCAAACAAAGCCACAACUCUUAGUAGUGCUACCCACUGUGGACCAAGCAUUCAAACACAUGAGUCUAUGGGGGCCAUUCCUAUUUAAACCCCCACACCACCAUUCUUUCAUUUUCACAAGUCAGAAAGAUAGAUGCCACACACAUGCUCCAAAACCACGGCCAUGAUCCUUCUUUCUCUCACUUUCAGUUUCCCACCACAGUUAUUUAGUUAGGUCAACUAAAUUUCCAUUAAGAUUCUUCCAUUUCUCAGCAGUUCCAUUGUCACUGACAUCAUGUAAGCCAGGAAUUCUGCUAGCUGAUAUCUGGAGUUCCAUAAGAGAUGGCCCUAUUUUUGUUAUAUCUACUCAUCACCCCCAGCAAGUCCCCUGCUGUCACUAUGACACUCAUUUUAAAGGGUGGCCUAAUCUCUCUUUGUACCAAAACUUUCCAUCAUUUCCUCUUAUUUUAACAUUACACCCAUGUUUAGAUCCACCAGACCUGGCCUGUGGGGUUUACUAUAAUGCCCGUUGCUUAGAUAUGUCUGUCAUCUUUAUCAGUAUAUUGGUACCCUGCUCUCUCAAAUUGGGAGAUCACUGUACAUGGUAGGAAUUUCUCCCACUGUCCUACUUACAUGUGAAUUUGUAUGCACUUACUAAAUAUUACCUCAAACCUCUCUUCUUCCCAAACACUUUUUGCUCUAGUUAGCUUCAGUGGUCAACUUGAGUUAUCAAAGGCAAUUUCAAUUGGACUAUAGACCAAUUUGUAUGGCAAUAGUCAAAUUAGCCUGUGAUUGUAUUCGUGAGAGACUCUCUUGAUUGACAGACAAUUGACAUGGAAAGGACAAGUCCAUUGUGGGUGGCAUCAUCACUAGACAGACGGGCCUGCGGUGGAUAAAGAAGGUAGCUGAACAUGAGCUAGUGGAUGAACCAGAGAACAAGCCAGCAAGCAACUUUUAUCCAUGCUUUUGAGAAAAACAACUUCCUUGAGUUACUGUUCUGACUUCCCUCAAUUAUGAUUAUGAUAUGGAAGUAUGAGCCAAAUGAAUCCUUUCUUUCUACAUUGCAUUUUGUCAUGUUUAUCUCAGUGACAGAAAAUCAAACUAAGUUACAUGUGUUCUCUCCCAUUGUGCUAUCACCCUACAGAGUAUAUUAUCCACAUUUUGUGUUUGUGUUGAUCAUUCUCUGGAAGAAUCAGAGCUCAAGAAAGCUGUUAUGUUCAUGAGUACAGUUUAUUGCAUAGAAAGGGCACAAAUGCAAAUCAACAAAAGGAAAGCAUAGUGAGUGAUGAAGCUGAGGAAGAGUAGAGUGGCUGUAAAUGUAAAUGUCUCUUUUAUUUCCCCAGAUGAAGGGAUGAGAUGAGAGCCAUAGCCAAGGAGCACAGAGCAUUUCUUUAUACUAACUGUGGUGGUUUGAAUAUGCUUGCCCCAGGGAAUGGCACAAUUAGGAAGUGUAACCUUGUUGGAGUAGAUGUGACCUUUUUGGAGGAAGUGUGUCACUGCGGGGGUGGGCUUUGGGACCCUCCUCUUAGCUACCCAUGAGACAGUCUUCUCCUGACCAUGUCUGCAUAGAUGCUGCCAUGCUUUCUGCCAUUUUGACAAUGUACUGAACCUCUGAUACUGUAAGCCAGCUCUAGUUAAAUAUUUUCUCAAUAUAAAAAUUGCCUUGUACAUGGUGUCUCUUCAUAGCAAUGGAAACCCUAAGAUACUAACUAUCCCUAGGCCUAGGCCUGGAAGCUUCUAGCCUCUGUACACUCCAAUCUUCCAAGCUGACUGAUUCAGUCUAGCUUCUUUCAACUUCUGACUGAAAUGUUCUACUUGGCUUCAUACUAACUUUAGUGGUAUGUUCUAAUCUUCUGGUUCCUUCUCAUUCUAUGAUCCAUUUUGUCUUGACCUGUGUCUAGCUUAUUCCCUUUCUGCAAACUGUCUUUGUAAAACUGUUCUGGUAAAACUGCCACACACAAGGACCAUCCACCACACUACACCUUAUUUUCUGUCUUGGUGCUCUUAAGUAGCCUUUCUUCCUCUGCUGUUCUUGUGUGAGUUGGGCAUAUCCUAUCUCUGACUCAUUCUGUGAAAUCUUUCUCUGAUUCAUCACUUUGUCUGCCCCUCAAUUAGAUAUCACUUUCAAACAUGGUUGCUUCCUUUUAGAAACUAACCUUACCUCCAUUGUUAGGGAUUAAAAAUGUAUACUAAAGGCAUGUCUGUAUUUUAGCCAGAUCAUACUGUAAUUCAGGGCAUGUCUGUAUUCUAGCCAAAUAAUAUGUUUGGAUGUGAUCCCUUGACAAAGCAGCCAUGUUGCUGGAUUAAAAUUCCUCUACAAUUAGAAGUUUAUUGACUUAGUCAGGGUUUUUAUUCCUGCACAAACAUCAUGACCAAGAUGCAAGUUGGGGAGGAAAGGGUUUAUUCGGCUUACACUUCCACAUUGUUGUUCAUCACCAAGGAAGUCAGGACUGGAACUCAAGCAGGUCAGGAAGCAGGAGCUGAUGCAGAAGCCAUGGAGGGAUGUUCUUACUGGCUUGCUUCCCCUGGCUUGCUCAGCCUGCUCUCUUAUAGAACCCAAGACUCCCAGCUCAGAGAUGGUCCCACCCACAAGGGGCCUUUCCCCCUUGAUCACUAAUUGAGAAAAUGUCCCACAGCUGGAUUUUUUUUCCAUUUUUUAUUAGGUAUUUAACUCAUUUACAUUUCCAAUGCUAUACCAAAAGUCCCCCAUAUCCACCCACCCCCACUCCCCUGCCCACCCACUCCCCCUUUUUGGCCCUGGUGUUCCCCUGUACUGGGGCAUAUAAAGUUUGCAAGUCCAAUGGGCCUCUCUUUCCUGUGAUGGCCGACUAGGCCAUCUUUUGAUAUAUAUGCAGCUAGAGUCAAGAGCUCCGGGGUACUGGUUAGUUCAUAAUGUUGUUCCACCUAUAGGGUUACAGAUCCCUUUAGCUCCUUGGCUACUUUCUCUAGCUCCUCCAUUGG
rnacentral:lncRNA from 1 species